UGGGGAAUAUUGGACAAUGGGGGCAACCCUGAUCCAGCAAUGCCGCGUGUGUGAAGAAGGUCUUCGGAUUGUAAAGCACUUUCGACGGGGACGAUGAUGACGGUACCCGUAGAAGAAGCCCCGGCUAACUUCGUGCCAGCAGCCGCGGUAAUACGAAGGGGGCUAGCGUUGCUCGGAAUGACUGGGCGUAAAGGGCGUGUAGGCGGUUUACACAGUCAGAUGUGAAAUCCCCGGGCUUAACCUGGGAGCUGCAUUUGAUACGUGUAGACUAGAGUGUGAGAGAGGGUUGUGGAAUUCCCAGUGUAGAGGUGAAAUUCGUAGAUAUUGGGAAGAACACCGGUGGCGAAGGCGGCAACCUGGCUCAUGACUGACGCUGAGGCGCGAAAGCGUGGGGAGCAAACAGGAUUAGAUACCCUGGUAGUCCACGCUGUAAACGAUGUGUGCUAGAUGUUGGGUAACUUUGUUAUUCAGUGUCGCAGUUAACGCGUUAAGCACACCGCCUGGGGGAGUACGGGCCG
rnacentral:rRNA from 1 species